GCCGAAGUGGCGGAACUGGUAGACGCGCUAUCUUGAGGGGGUAGUGGGCGUAAGCCCGUGCGGGUUCGAGUCCCGCCUUCGGCACCA
rnacentral:tRNA from 3 species